UACAGAGACUGCAAGCGUUAUUCGGAUUCACUGGGCGUAAAGGGUGCGCAGGCGGCCAAGUGUGUUAGGCGUGAAAGCCCGGGGCUUAACCUCGGAAUUGCACCUAAAACUACAUGGCUAGAGCAUUGGAGAGGGUAGCGGAAUUCACGGUGUAGCAGUGAAAUGCGUAGAUAUCGUGAGGAACACCAGAGGCGAAGGCGGCUACCUGGACAAUUGCUGACGCUCAGGCACGAAAGCGUGGGGGAGCAAAAGGG
rnacentral:rRNA from 1 species